rnacentral:lncRNA from 1 species
AAGAAUAAAAUUCCCCAGAGAAAGUGGAAAAUGGAAAGAAGAAAUAAGAAAGGAAGAGACAGAGAGGAAGAAGGAGAGGGAGAGAGAAAUUUGGGUAACAGUCUAUGGGUCUGGGGCUAUUUGGUUGUUAUCCAUAUCACACUGGAUAACAGAAGAGUGAACCUCACAACUACAGACCAUAAAAAGAGCAAUAGCAUCACCGUCUAAAAAGCUAACAUCCUGAACAUCAUUCUACUGCACCUCCAAGCAUCAUCCAGAUGCUUAAAAUCAAGCCAAGGAUAUUUACUGAAGAGCUGCACCAAUGGAAAGCCCAUUGCAGUAGGGAUAAGGACUCAACAACCACAUCACUGGACCUCCUGCGCUACCCGAAGCUCAAAACUGAAAGCAUUCCAAAGCUGAGUGAUGCUAGCACAACUUGAAGACAGUCCCCAUGAGCCAACUGAAGAGACCCUCAGAGAGAAGAGAUUCCCAAAUUGUGCCGGAUACUCAGAGAUUAGAGCAUGGUUGGCCAAUGGAAUGUCUCAAGUCCACCAGCUUUAUGGAAUCCCUCAUUUUGUUUUAAAAUACAAAAUGGAAAAAAAUCUCAGGGUCAAUAGAGAAUAAUCUGGACACUAAUUGCUCCAUGAAGAAAUAUCUGAGUGGGGUUGUUCAUUCAUAGAAAGUUUGCUUAGCAUCCCCUGAGCUGUACAUCUUAGUUGCAUUACUGGAUGAUUUUGGAAAUCUUCAUCUUGUCUUUUUAACAUGCCCCGGUAAGUUAAUUUGCAAGGAAUGAUACCAAUUGACUUUUUUUUUCUUUUUGGUGUUUUUUGGUUUUUCGAGACAGGGUUUCUCUGUGGCUUUGGAGGCUGUCCUGGAACUAGCUCUUGUAGACCAGGCUGGUCUUGAACUCACAGAGAUCCACCUGCCUCUGCCUCCCGAGUGCUGGGAUUAAAGGCGUGCGCCACCAACACCUGGCUUCCAAUUGACUUUUGUGAUAUAAAGUAAAUCAUUUCUUCAUAAGUUGCUGUCAUUUCUCCUGACACACUUAGAGCUUAUAGCAUAUGUUAAUGUCCCCUGACACACUUAGAGCUUAUAGCAUAUGUUAAU